UUUGUUGCAAACGUUUCGUCCCCUGGCUAGGAGACAUCAUCAGUGCUCUGGAGCUUCCUGCAAAGCGCUUCUUUGAUGUUUCUUCCGGCCUUCGAUGAUGACCCCCAGCCUCUGGUGACCUCCUGACCUAGCAUAGUGUCCUCCCGGUGUGGUGUUUUGCUGGCUCAAUGUGGAUCCAAGGCCUGGUGUGGACUGGAAGCAAGCAAUCUGCAAAGAUUUCAGAAGAAGUUGUGUGUGAUUAGUGUCUUGUUGACAUGUGCCAGACAUCAGAACGACAGACCUCAUGGCAUUUUACACUUUAUCCUUUUGCCUUCACUGUUCUUGUUUCAGAAGAACAAUCUCUGGAGAGAAUUGCAUUUUUAUUUUCCUGAAGUGUAUCAUGCUUGCAUAUGUUUUUGGGAUAUU